CUCCAGUGAUGAUUCAGCCAUGCUAAUACUGAUGCACCAGACAGGUGUAAUUCAUGUCUGGAUGCAAGUGAGUUCGACACAACUUCUCACACUGAUGGUUUCAGUGUGUGCUGAGGAGA